rnacentral:lncRNA from 1 species
UCUCUCGAAAAUGACCAAGCUAGCAUAUAUUCUUAUGCUAGAUCAAUGUUUGAUAAAUAUAAAUAUAUAGAUACAACUAGUACUAAAACUGUUUCUACUUCUAAGUCUGGAGCAGAUGUUUUAUGGAAAGAUAUGGAUAAUAUAACAUGUUUUGAUUCCUCUAUUGAUGAUGAACUUGAUUCUCAAGGAUUAGAAAAUAUUAAAGAUGAAGAAGGCAAGGAACAACUUUUGUCAUGGUGGAGAGAGCGUGGCAAGACUUUUCCAACACUUUCAAUUAUGGC